AGCGCGCAGCGCCGUCACCUCCUGCCCCGCCGCCUGCAGCGCCCCGUCGAUGCGCAGCGCCAGCUGCUUGUUGUCGUCCAUCAUGUGCAGGAUUUUGGCCUGGGGGAGGGAGGAAGAGGAGGAGAGAGGGGCUGUCAAGACGGGGUGCUGGGAUGUGGCUCUGCAGAAGCAGAGGGGUUUGGCUUGAGUGUCCCCAGAGAGCUUUUAGGAACAGAUAUCAGCCAGCUCUCCAAGAGUGAAAAGGUACCAAGUCCUUGUCAAGCAGCAUCUAGACCUUGUAAUCUGUAAAAGGAUUUUGCAAACCGAAGAUAAUCCAGUAUUUAGAUACAUGGUAUGGUGGAUUUUGAAGGGAAAGUUAUUUUUCACUGAGAGUUUCCAGCAGUGUCUGCAACCCAAGCACUAGUGCUGGGCAAGGGCACUUGAAAUACCAGUGGGAAGGUCUGUUUUCCUUAAUGAAUUCCCAACGGAUGGACAAACAACCCUCAAGGAGAAUUUGAGAUUCUUUCUUCAUCAUCUAUGCAGCCAUCCCUGAAUGAGAUAAAGUCCUUUAAGUGUAUAUAGAAACUGAAUUCUAAGCAAAUAAAUGCUCUGUUUCAUGCCUUA